GACGAACGCUGGCGGCGUGCUUAACACAUGCAAGUCGAACGGAAAGGCCCUGCUUUUGUGGGGUGCUCGAGUGCGAACGGGUGAGUAACACGUGAGUAACCUGCCCUUGACUUUGGGAUAACUUCAGGAAACUGGGGCUAAUACCGGAUAUGAGCUCCUGCUGCAUGGUGGGGGUUGGAAAGUUUCGGCGGUUGGGGAUGGACUCGCGGCUUAUCAGCUUGUUGGUGGGGUAGUGGCUUACCAAGGCUUUGACGGGUAGCCGGCCUGAGAGGGUGACCGGCCACAUUGGGACUGAGAUACGGCCCAGACUCCUACGGGAGGCAGCAGUGGGGAAUAUUGCACAAUGGGCGGAAGCCUGAUGCAGCAACGCCGCGUGCGGGAUGACGGCCUUCGGGUUGUAAACCGCUUUCGCCUGUGACGAAGCGUGAGUGACGGUAAUGGGUAAAGAAGCACCGGCUAACUACGUG
rnacentral:rRNA from 1 species